rnacentral:rRNA from 1 species
AUUGAACGCUGGCGGCAGGCCUAACACAUGCAAGUCGAGCGAGCGGCGGACGGGUGAGUAAUGUCUGGGAAACUGCCUGAUGGAGGGGGAUCACCACUGGACACGGUAUCUAAUACCGCAUUCUAGCAGAUGCGCCUAUAGGGUUUGAUCUAGUAGGUGGGGUAAUGGCUCACCUAGGCGACGAUCCCUAGCUGGUGUGAGAGGAUGCCCAGCCACACUGGAACUGAGACACGGUCCAGACUCCUACGGGAGGCAGCAGUGGGGAAUAUUGCACAAUGGGCGCAAGCCUGAUGCAGCCAUGCCGCGUGUAUGAAGAAGGCCUUAGGGUUGUAAAGUACUUUCAGCGGGGAGGCGUUACCGGCAGAAGAAGCACCGGCUAACUCCGUGCCAGCAGCCGCGGUAAUUC